rnacentral:lncRNA from 1 species
GAGUAAGGACUAUAGUAUGAACAAGGGACGAUUCAUGCAUAUACAUGAAGAAUCACGAGCUUAGAGCUUUGGUUUGCACGUGAACAUAUAUGUACAACACAUAUAAUGUUAAUGUAUUGUGGUAUGUUUGUAAGUAAGCGAAGAAACGACGAUGAAUACUUAAAGAGAAAAGUGUUAAUAAUAAUACUUUGCAAUAGAAUUCGCACUUCCCAACGAAGGAAGAGAGAGGUGGGGGGAAGAAAGGGACGUGUGCAUGGGAGUGUGAUUAAGCGUCGCCUCAUUCAC